rnacentral:rRNA from 1 species
UACGGGGGGGGCAAGCGUUGUUCGGAAUUACUGGGCGUAGAGGGUUAGUAGGUGGCCAACUAAGUCAGACGUGAAAUCCCUCAGCUUAACUGGGGAACUGCGUCUGAGACUGAUUGGCUCGAGGACAGGAGAGGAACGCGGAAUUCCAGGUGUAGCGGUGAAAUGCGUAGAUAUCUGGAGGAACACCGGUGGCGAAGGCGGCGUUCUGGACUGUUUCUGACACUGAAUAACGAAAGCCAGGGGAGCAAACGGG